rnacentral:rRNA from 1 species
GACGAACGCUGGCGGCGUGCCUAAUACAUGCAAGUCGAACGCUUCUUUCCUCCCGAGUGCUUGCACUCAAUUGGAAAGAGGAGUGGCGGACGGGUGAGUAACACGUGGGUAACCUACCCAUCAGAGGGGGAUAACACUUGGAAACAGGUGCUAAUACCGCAUAACAGUUUAUGCCGCAUGGCAUAAGAGUGAAAGGCGCUUUCGGGUGUCGCUGAUGGAUGGACCCGCGGUGCAUUAGCUAGUUGGUGAGGUAACGGCUCACCAAGGCCACGAUGCAUAGCCGACCUGAGAGGGUGAUCGGCCACACUGGGACUGAGACACGGCCCAGACUCCUACGGGAGGCAGCAGUAGGGAAUCUUCGGCAAUGGGCGAAAGUCUGACCGAGCAACGCCGCGUGAGUGAAGAAGGUUUUCGGAUCGUAAAACUCUGUUGUUAGAGAAGAACAAGGGCGUUAGUAACUGAACGUCCCCUGACGGUAUCUAACCAGAAAGCCACGGCUAACUACGUG